GCAACUCUUCAUGUCUCUGUAACUAUGAUACCCUGGCAGUUUCUGUCUAACAGAACAUGGAUAUCAUCAUCAUCAAACAAGACCUCCUUAUAUUGUCAGUGUUUUUGCUGUGGACUGCAGGUCUUAUUGAUGGGAAUGAUGUCACACAGAUUGACAUACUGUGGAAAGACGAGGGUCAAAAUGCAACAAUUAACUGCAGCCACACCAAGAAUGCUGGCUACAACCAGAUGUACUGGUACAGACAGCUACCAGGGGAGAGGAUGAAGCAAAUAGUUCUCACAACUGCAUUCAGCGCUCAUGAAUAUGAAAGUGGCUUCAGUGAGGACAAAUUUCCUGCAACGAAGAACGAUGCUCAGACUGGAUCUUUGACAGUGGAGAAGCUGCUGCCUAACGACAGUGGAGUGUAUUUUUGUGCUGUGAGUCAACACAUUGAUACAGGUGACUUAGACAGCUGCACAAAUACCCAACUGUUGGAGUCACAAUGAAUAAAUACAGCUGUAUCUUUAAUGAACUGUAGAGGGAACUAUACACAGAUGGUUACACUUAUCUUUAGACAAAAAUGAAGAAAAUAUAGACCCUUAACUUUUAAUCUUUUGGUUUACAUUGAAUUUCAUAUUAUUUGGCAUGUGUAAUAUUGCAUUAUGACUAUUAUGCUAACCCAUUUCUCCCCAUGCUCCAGUAACUUUAAAACCUUAUUUAAAAAUAAAGAAACGUGUAAUAACGACACAGUAGCAAAAAAAUUGUGAUGCCACCUAUUUCCUGACAGACCUGAGAAAAAUGUAUUCCAUUUUACUUUCUACUGCAUUCACCUUUCUGUUUAAAGUUUCAAUUGCAUUAGUUUUUUAUUAUCUCAAAUUAAAUUAAAUUUUUCUCUUUGA